ACUCCUACGGGAGGCAGCAGUGGGGAAUUUUCCGCAAUGGGCGAAAGCCUGACGGAGCAAUACCGCGUGAGGGAUGACGGCCUGUGGGUUGUAAACCUCUUUUCUCAAGGAAGAAGUUCUGACGGUACUUGAGGAAUAAGCAUCGGCUAACUCUGUGCCAGCAGCCGCGGUAAUACA
rnacentral:rRNA from 1 species